GACACGGUACCUUUUUGUAAUGAUACAAAAAGGUAAACUAAACAUGGUAUUAAGGUACUUGUCUAAAAAACAUGGUAUUAGCUACUAUGCUUUAGUACAUUUGUCUAGAAAAGCCCUGUAGUACAUGCACUGAAAAAAAAUGUAAGGGCAAGUUAUUUAUUUUUUAUUGGCUCAAGUUAAAAAAUACAGAUGUGAAUCAUUACCCAAUUUUUUUUUUAAUUGGAUGAAUGAAACAUUUUUUUUUUCUCGGUGUGGUUCCAUGCUAAAAAGUAUCAGAAUUAGCUUACUUUUUUGUAUUACAUGUAAUAGUGCAUUAAUAUAAUCUGUAAUUUAAGCAUCAUGGAAUACCUGUUUAUACCAUGCUACCACUUUAUCACAUUUUAUGAAUGAUUGCACUAACACAAAUACCACGAUAAACCAUGGUACUUUUGUGAGUGAUUUCUGCUGCUUUGUGGUGCACGGUUAUCCCCUCGGACUCUUUCUGAAAAUGUUCCUUGGCUUCUAGUUGUUGAUCGUCAGCGCCGUCCACAAACCCUCUCGGGAUCUCCAUCGUCCAAGGUUCCCGCAUCGGCGGUGAGGAGGAGGCGGGGCGCGCUCGAUCAGUGCCCCGCGGAUUGACGAGCCCUCAGAUGCUGAUUUACUGUAUAUGUCAGCCACACUGGAGCCACGGCACAUCUGGAGUCUACUAGAGCGGGAGAGAGAGAGAGGGUGCAGCACAUCACUACACCAGGUGGUGGCAACAAGACACAGCAUCUCACACACCUGUGCACAUCACACAUACACACAGAUCACACGAUUUAACCCUAACCCUAAGCAUUAUGCUCUUGUUUUAUAACCUGUGUUUAACAAGCAGGCUGGAUAUGCGUAAUGGGAUCAGCAUUUAUCUUCAUGAUUUUGCACUUCUUAUUGGCUGUCACAGAGAGUUUUAAAUAAAUACAACAUACUUUCAAACUUUCAUGCAUUCAUAUAAAGUCUUAAAUUUGACUGUAACAAAUCUUACAACUAAAGCAAUUAUUAGCGGAAUUAACCUCUUCGGUAGUAUAUAAACAAAAUGUCCAGCUGCCAAAGUCUAUCAGAAUCGUUGGUUUCAGAUGUCGCUUAGAUAUUAAGAGCAGGAAUGUUUUUAUAAAGAUAAACAAACCACAGUAAAUUCACUCGGGUUUAAUUGGCUCUGUCAUUUCUCAGUAGAUGCUCACAGAUAGAAUCUCUACCUGAGGCUAUGAGGAACAUCUCUAGGAGCUGAGGAAUGCACACAGCCCUUUACAUUCAAGUGUAAGGUGAUUAGCUGGGUGUGUUCCCGCUCCCCAGUGCUCUGUCUCUGCACUCUCUUACAUCUUUCUCACGUCGUGUGUUGUGUAAGGGAGUGUUUCUGGAGUGCUUGAAAGAGCAGGUGGUUUGGAUUGUAGGACAGGUGUAUAUUCUGUCUGUAAUGCCGUGAGCCGAGGCCGACUAAGUUAUCUGAGGCGUUUGGACCACAGCUGGUCAGCAGUCGACCCAUAGUUGCAGUACAGAAAGCAUAGACACAUUUAAUGUGAAUAACCAUUUAGGUGAACAUGAUGUCAUUUUUUUUUAAAAAACACUAUUUAAAAAAAAUAAUAAUAAUGUCCCAGCUUAAUAUUCAGUGACAACUAUAAAUAAGACAUUUCAUAAUAAACUAAUGAACGAACGAGUGAAAGACAUUUCUA
ensembl:lncRNA